rnacentral:rRNA from 1 species
UACGAGGGGGGCGAGCGUUGUUCGGAAUCACUGGGCGUAAAGAGUGCGUAGGCGGCUCUGAAAGUUAGGAGUGAAAGCCCCAGGCUUAACCUGGGAAUUGCUCUUAAAACUCCAGAGCUAGAAUUUGGGAGAGGAUAGCGGAAUUCUCAGUGUAGCAGUGAAAUGCGUAGAUAUUGAGAGGAACACCAGUGGCGUAAGCGGCUAUCUGGACCAACAUUGACGCUGAGGCACGAAAGCGUGGGGAUCAAACAGG